AACACGUGUGCCUGCAGAUAAGGGGGCUGUGACGCUGACUCACCCAGGAGGACCCAAAGCCUUUAGCUCUGCAUCUCUGUUCCUCCUUCACUGGGGUUUCUCUGCCCUGAAGGCUUGGUUUUGACAGCUGAUGGAGUUGGUGAAGAAGGAGUUUCCUGGCAUCUUUUCACACUUCAGAAAACUGCAGCACAUGUAUCAAUACAGCUUACCUUAAACAGGAGAAGUGGUGCUGGUGCAGAAGCUGGAGACAAGCCAUGGCAGGCCAGUUUCCAAGAACUGGCUGCAUUGUUCAUGAGGACCUUGGAAGAGCAGCUGUGCAAGAGUUAUCCUACUUUGUGUAGCAAGCACAUGGGAGACAGCCCCAACAGCUUCACUACCAACCAGUUCCCUAUAAAGUAACA